ACACCCAUGUACUUUUCCUCCGGCAACCUGUCCUUCGUGAAGUCGUGCUUCUCCUCCACCGCCACCACCCAAAGAUUGCUGGCACAUCAGUGCUUUGGGAUCCAGACCAUCCCCCAUUCGUUUUUUUUUUUUUUCCCCUUUUUCUCGGCUGCCUCACACAGUUUUUUUCUCACCCGUUUGCCACAUGGACAAUUUCCUCCUGGCUGUGAUGGCCUAUGACCGCUUUGUGGCCGUGUGCCACCCCUUACAUUACAUGACAAAGAUGACCCAUCAGCUCUGUGUCCUGCUGGUCGCUGGGUCGUGGGUCGUGGCCAACCUGAGUGCUUUGUUGCACACCCUGCUGAUGGCUGGACUCUCAUUCUGUGCAGACAACACCAUCCCCCACUUCUUCUGUGAUGUGACUCCUCUUCUAAAACUCUCCUGCUCAGACACUCACCUCAAUGAGAUGAUGAUUCUCACUGAGGGCGGCCUGGUCACUGUCACCCCACUUGUUUGCAUCUUGGCUUCCUAUGUGCACAUCACCUGUGCUGUCCUGAGAGCUCCAACCACAAAGGGAAGAUGGAAAGCCUUCUCCACCUGUGGCUCCCACCUGGCUGUUGUGUUCCUCUUCUAUGGCACCAUCAUUGCUAUUUAUUUAAACCCCUCGUCCUCUCACUCAGCUGAGAAAGACACCGCAGCUACCGUGUUGUAUACAGUGGUGACCCCCAUGCUAAACCCUUUCAUCUACAGCCUAAGGAACAGGGAUUUGAAAAGGGCUCUGGGAAAGGUGUUUGGCAGAAAGGCAUGCUUAUACAGGUGUUAA